rnacentral:rRNA from 1 species
UACGAAGGGGGCUAGCGUUGUUCGGAAUCACUGGGCGUAAAGGGCGCGCAGGCGGCUCAUUUUGUCAGGCGUGAAAGCCCCGGGCUUAACCUGGGAACUGCGUUUGAUACGGAUGGGCUAGAGUUCGGGAGAGGAGAGUGGAAUUCCCAGUGUAGAGGUGAAAUUCGUAGAUAUUGGGAAGAACACCAGUGGCGAAGGCGGCUCACUGGCCCGGUACUGACGCUGAGGUGCGAAAGCGUGGGGAGCAAACAGGG